CUCUGUGUUUGGCCACUCUGAGGAGAGAUGUUUUGUGAUCCAUGGCUAUCCUGAGAAUUUUAAAAAUCCUAAGGGUUCUCAAUCUUCAAAUCCACCUCAGAAAUCCAAUGAACCUACCUCCCAAGCCAAAGCCUCUGCUCAUUGUGUCAGUUCUAGUCAAACUUGGGCCUCUUGGGGUAAGGAUGAAGUCAAAAGGAGUGAACCAGAGUCAACUGCACCAGUGGGACCACAUGGCAUG
rnacentral:lncRNA from 1 species